rnacentral:rRNA from 1 species
GACGAACGCUGGCGGCGUGCUUAACACAUGCAAGUCGAACGGUAAGGCCCUUCGGGGUACACGAGUGGCGAACGGGUGAGUAACACGUGGGUGAUCUGCCCUGCACUUCGGGAUAAGCCUGGGAAACUGGGUCUAAUACCGGAUAGGACUCCUGGCUUCAUGGGUGGGGGUGGAAAGCUUUUGCGGUGUGGGAUGGGACCGCGGCCUAUCAGCUUGUUGGUGGGGUAAUGGCCUACCAAGGCGACGACGGGUAGCCGGCCUGCGAGGGUGACCGGUCACACUGGGACUGAGAUACGGCCCAGACUCCUACGGGAGGCAGCAGUGGGGAAUAUUGCACAAUGGGCGCAAGCCUGAUGCAGCGACGCCGCGUGAGGGAUGACGGCCUUCGGGUUGUAAACCUCUUUCAGCUAUGACGAAGCGCAAGUGACGGUAGUAGCAGAAGAAGGACCGGCCAACUACGUGCCAGCAGCCGCCGUAAAAC